UAGGGAAUCUUCCGCAAUGGGCGAAAGCCUGACGGAGCAACGCCGCGUGAGUGAUGAAGGUCUUCGGAUCGUAAAACUCUGUUAUUAGGGAAGAACAAAUGUGUAAGUAACUAUGCACAUCUUGACGGUACUUAAUCAGAAAGCCACGGCUAACUACGUGCCAGCAGCCGCGGUAAUACGUAGGUGGCAAGCGUUAUCCGGAAUUAUUGGGCGAAAAGCGAGCGUAGGCGGUCAAUUAAGUCUGAUGUGAAAGCCCCCGGCUCAACCGGGGAGGGUCAUUGGAAACUGGUUGGCUUGAGUGCAGAAGAGGAGCGUGGAAUUCCAUGUGUUGCGGUGAAAUGCGUAGAUAUAUGGAGGAACACCAGUGGCGAAGGCGACUCUCUUUUCUGUAACUGACGCUUAGUUUCGAAAACGUGGGUCUCGAACAUG
rnacentral:rRNA from 1 species